GGGUAAGUACACACGAAUUAACAGUGAAACCACAAAAGGUUCAUUAUAUCAGUUAUGGUUCAUAGUUAUUUGGAUAACUAUGGCAAUUCUGAUGCUAAUACAUGCAUUAUAAACAAGGUCCUUUGGGACGCGUGCUUUGAUUAGGCUAAAGCCAAGUGAUCUUUGAUCGUUUUUAUAGUUGAACACUAGAUAACUUGCAGAUCAUAUGGUCUCGUAUCGAUGACAGAUCUUUCAAAUGUCUGCCCUAUCAACUUUUGAUGGUAUCUCUUCAGCCUAUCCCAACAAAAAGUUGUUUACUUACACUAAAUCCAUUUUUUAUGAA
rnacentral:ncRNA from 1 species